rnacentral:rRNA from 1 species
GGGUCUUCAUUGACUCAGUAACGCAGCUAACGCGUGAAGUAGGCCGCCUGGGGAGUACGGUCGCAAGAUUAAAACUCAAAGGAAUUGACGGGGACCCGCACAAGCGGUGGAUGAUGUGGAUUAAUUCGAUGCAACGCGAAAAACCUUACCUACCCUUGACAUGCCACUAACGAAGCAGAGAUGCAUUAGGUGCUCGAAAGAGAAAGUGGACACAGGUGCUGCAUGGCUGUCGUCAGCUCGUGUCGUGAGAUGUUGGGUUAAGUCCCGCAACGAGCGCAACCCUUGUCUUUAGUUGCUACGCAAGAGCACUCUAGAGAGACUGCCGGUGACAAACCGGAGGAAGGUGGGGAUGACGUCAAGUCCUCAUGGCCCUUAUGGGUAGGGCUUCACACGUCAUACAAUGGUCGGAACAGAGGGUUGCCAACCCGCGAGGGGGAGCUAAUCUCAUAAAACCGAUCGUAGUCCGGAUCGUAGUCUGCAACUCGACUACGUGAAGCUGGAAUCGCUAGUAAUCGCGGAUCAGAAUGUCGCGGUGAAUACGUUCCCGGGUCUUGUACACACCGCCCGUCACACCAUGGGAGUGGGCUUUGCCAGAAGUAGUUAGCCUAACCGUAAGGAGGGCGAUUACCACGGCAGGGUUCAUGACUGGGGUG